GCAGAAGCAGUAUAUUUUGUACGUGCGAUUUCGGCUCGUAAGGAAGGCAGUAGAACACCUCUUUUGCU
rnacentral:tRNA from 1 species